AUUGAACGCUGGUGGCAUGCUUUACACAUGCAAGUCGAACGGUAACAGGCCGCAAGGUGCUGACGAGUGGCGAACGGGUGAGUAAUGCAUCGGAACGUGCCCAGUCGUGGGGGAUAACGCAGCGAAAGCUGCGCUAAUACCGCAUACGAUCUCUGGAUGAAAGCGGGGGACCGAAAGGCCUCGCGCGAUUGGAGCGGCCGAUGUCAGAUUGGGUAGUUGGUGGGGUAAAGGCCCACCAAGCCAACGAUCUGUAGCUGGUCUGAGAGGACGACCAGCCACACUGGGACUGAGACACGGCCCAGACUCCUACGGGAGGCAGCAGUGGGGAAUUUUGGACAAUGGGCGCAAGCCUGAUCCAGCAAUGCCGCGUGCAGGAAGAAGGCCUUCGGGUUGUAAACUGCUUUUGUACGGAACGAAACGGUCCGGGCUAAUACCCUGGGCUAAUGACGGUACCGUAAGAAUAAGCACCGGCUAACUACGUGCCAGCCGCCGCCGUAA
rnacentral:rRNA from 1 species